GGCCUGUUGAGUAUGAUUUUAGGUYUGACCUGCCCACUGAGAAUUUAAAUGGCCGCGGUAUUUUGACCGUGCAAAGGUAGCAUAAUCAUUAGUUUUUUAAUUGAAAGCUUGAAUGAAAGGUUUGAUGAGGAAAAUUCUGUCUCUAUGAAAUUUUAUUAGAAUUUUAUUUUUAAGUUAAAAAGCUUAAAUUAAGAUAGAAGACGAGAAGACCCUAUAGAGUUUUAUAUUUAAAUAAAAUGGUUAAAUUAGAGGAAUUGAAAGUUUAAAUUUUGUUUAAUUAUUUUGUUGGGGUGAUAGAAAAAAUGAAUAAACUUUUUUUUAUGUAAAAACAUUGAUUUGUGAAUAAAUGAUCCUAAAGUUUAGAUUAGAAGAUUAAAUUACCUUAGGGAUAACAGCGUAAUUUUUUUUAGAGUUCUUAUCGAAAGAAAAGAUUGCGACCUCGAUGUUGGAUUAAAAUUAAUUGUUGGUGUAGAAGCUGAUACAUUAGGUCUGUUCGACCUUUAAAAUUUUACAUGAUCUGAGUUUAGACCGGCGUGAG
rnacentral:rRNA from 1 species